rnacentral:rRNA from 1 species
CUUCGGUUGUAAGCUCUUCGGACGGGACGAAAUGGUUAUGGUGAAUAGCCGUGACUGAUGACGGUACCGUAAUAAGAAGCACCGGCUAACUACGUGC